rfam:Rhizobiales bacterium TMED25 107478, whole genome shotgun sequence.
GGGGCCAUAGCUCAGUUGGGAGAGCGCCUGCUUUGCAAGCAGGAGGUCGUCGGUUCGAUCCCGUCUGGCUCCA